GUUUUGGGCGUAUUGGUGUGGAGCACAGAAAUACUCAAAAGUUAAGUGUGCUUAAGUGGGAGUAGUACCAGGAUGGUGACCUCCUAGGAAGUCUACACCGAGAAAACC
rfam:Helianthus annuus linkage group 4, whole genome shotgun sequence.